GAUGCUGAUCGGUAUUGAUGACACUCUUGUCAAGGAGAAGUUCAGUGACGCUGACACCAUUGACAGCGGAAAAGUAGUUAACAGGGACGUGGAGACCGGAUCCCAUCCCACGGAACCCAUGGAGAGCGUGCAGCAGCUGGACCUUGAAGGUCUUCUUUCGCAACUCAAGGAGAUGGGAAACGGUCAACGUCCCGGUGACACAUCCCCGUACAGCACUGCAGAGACUGAACUAAGAGCACCGCCACCCAUUGAAUAUUAUUCCGCACAACGACAAGACCGGAUCAUGGAGCGGCUGGUGGAGCUGAGCACCAGGCAGUCUCAGGGCC